rnacentral:rRNA from 1 species
AGCGAACGCUGGCGGCAGGCUUAACACAUGCAAGUCGAACGGUAAGGCCCUUCGGGGUACACGAGUGGCGAACGGGUGAGUAACACGUGGGUGAUCUGCCCUGCACUUCGGGAUAAGCCUGGGAAACUGGGUCUAAUACCGGAUAGGACCACUGCCUGCAUGGGUGGUGGUGGAAAGCUUUUGCGGUGUGGGAUGGGCCCGCGGCCUAUCAGCUUGUUGGUGGGGGGAUGGCCUACCAAGGCGACGACGGGUAGCCGGCCUGAGAGGGUGACCGGCCACACUGGGACUGAGAUACGGCGCAGACUCCUACGGGAGGCAGCAGUGGGGAAUAUCGCACAAUGGGCGCAAGCCUGAUGCAGCGACGCCGCGUGAGGGAUGACGGCCUUCGGGUUGUAAACCUCUUUCAGCACCGACGAAGCGCAAGUGACGGUAGGUGCAGAAGAAGGACCGGCCAACUACGUGCCAGCAGCCGCCGUAA